ACGUAGGGGGCAAGCGUUGUUCGGAAUUACUGGGCGUAAAGGGCAUGUAGGCGGUUUAGUAAGCUUGGCGUGAAAGACCACGGCUUAACUGUGGGGUUGCGUUGAGAACUGCUGAACUUGAGUUACGGAGAGGGAGCUAGAAUUCCUGGUGUAGGGGUGAAUGGUGUAGAGAUGAGGAGGAAGAGCGAUGGGGAGGGCAAGCAACUGGCCUAUAUCCGAAGCUAAUCUGGGAAAUUGUCUGAAGUGGUGUG
rnacentral:rRNA from 1 species